GAUGAAGAACGCAGCGAAAUACGAUACGUAGUGUGAAUUGCAGAAUUCAGUGAAUCAUCGAAUCUUUGAACGCACAUUGCACCUCUCGGUAUUCCGGGAGGUAUGCCUGUUCGAGCGUCAUUUGUACCCUCAAGCUCUGCUUGGUGUUGGGUGUUUGUUCCGCCUCUGUGUGUGAACUCGCCUCAAAACAAUUGGCAGCCGGCGUACUUGUUUCGGAGCGCAGCACAUUUUGCGAUUCAGAUCAACGUACAGCGGCAUCCAAGAAGCCUUAUUUAACGCUCUUGACCUCGGAUCAGGUAGGGAUACCCGCUGAACUUAAGCAUAUCAAUAAGCGGAGGA
rnacentral:misc_RNA from 1 species